rnacentral:rRNA from 1 species
GAUGAACGCUGGCGGCGUGCCUAAUACAUGCCAGUCGAGCGAACAGACGAGGAGCUUGCUCCUCUGACGUUAGCGGCGGACGGGUGAGUAACACGUGGAUAACCUACCUAUAAGACUGGGAUAACUUCGGGAAACCGGAGCUAAUACCGGAUAAUAUAUUGAACCGCAUGGUUCAAUAGUGAAAGACGGUUUUGCUGUCACUUAUAGAUGGAUCCGCGCCGCAUUAGCUAGUUGGUAAGGUAACGGCUUACCAAGGCGACGAUGCGUAGCCGACCUGAGAGGGUGAUCGGCCACACUGGAACUGAGACACGGUCCAGACUCCUACGGGAGGCAGCAGUAGGGAAUCUUCCGCAAUGGGCGAGAGCCUGACGGAGCAACGCCGCGUGAGUGAUGAAGGUCUUCGGAUCGUAAAACUCUGUUAUUAGGGAAGAACAAAUGUGUAAGUAACUAUGCACGUCUUGACGGUACCUAAUCAGAAAGCCACGGCUAACUACGUG